GUCAUUGCCCUUGGGCUUGACAUCCCACGAACCUGCCCGAAAGGGUAGGGUGCCCGCAAGGGAGCGUGGAGACAGGUGGUGCAUGGCUGUCGUCAGCUCGUGUCGUGAGAUGCUGGGUUAAGUCCCGCAACGAGCGCAACCCUCACCCCUUGUUGCCACCGGGUCAUGCCGAGCACUCUAGGGUGAAUUGCCAGCGUCAAGCUGGAGGAAGGCGGGGAUGACGUCAAGUCAUCAUGCCCCUUACGCCCUGGGCGAAACACGUGCUACAAUGGCUGGUACAAAGGGAUGCAAGACCGCGAGGUGGAGCUAAUCCCAAAAAACCGGUCUAGAGUUGAGAUUGCAGUCUGCAACUCGACUGCAUGAAGGAGGAAUCGCUAGUAAUCGCGCAUCAGCACGGCGCGGUGAAUACGUUCCCGGGCCUUGUACGCACCGCCCGUCACACCACGAAAGCCGGCUGUACUCGAAGUCGCUGAAGGAC
rnacentral:rRNA from 1 species